CGCGAAAUAGUUGAGAAUUGCAUGACGUGGACCUGACGGCAAGGACAACUGCGAGGAGGCCCCUUUCGGUACCCCUGACGGGAAGGAGAACUGCAGAAGUCGACGAAGUCGAACGAGGAGGCCCCUUUUCCGUACCCCAUACUGCAAAGUGCCAUUGAUGGAUACCUUUUGCACCUGGAACGACCCCUUAAACGCUGUCGCGGCGACUAUCCCGUACGCGAAAUAGUUGAGAACUGCUGACGUGGACCUUUUGCACCUGGAACGGCCCCGUAAACGCUGUCGUGUCGGCGGAGUGAAUGUGCAGGGUACUAGGGUGAAAAGAAUUGCUGCAAAGACGUCCCCUCUACUAGGCUCUAGUCUAGGCCUUUGCCUUUGGAGACAUCGUCGGCGAACUGAAUGCGCAGGGCGAAAAGAAUUGCUGCAAAGACGGCCGCUCUAGGCCUUUGGAGACAUCGUGGGAACUCCUUCCGGUACUAUACAAACUGCUGACGUGGCCGUGGACAUGUACAUGGAGAGUCAUGGUGGGACUUCAUGUACAUGGAUACAUGGUGGGAAUUCCUUCCGGCACCCCCGUACCACAAAGCCAACGGUGGGGAAGGAGAAGUGCAGACGUGCAGGGAAACGAACGAGGAGGAACCAGGGCGAGCGAGCAAUGGCAGGACUAGCUGGACCUGAACGCUGUCGCGUCGGCGACUGAAUGCGCAGGAGGGAAAAUAUUGCUGCGAAGACGUCUCCUCUAGACGACGGUAUAUCAUUCCGUGACGACCACAUUGAAGUCUGAAUUUGAAGUGUGAAGAUGCUUCAGCAACCACAUCGUACUUUUCCAUUGCUUUCAUUGUGCUUCUACUGUGCAUGUGUGUAGCUUGUGGGGUAAACAUGUGAUGACAUUGUAUGCUGGCGACACGGUCAGAUGUUCAUGCGUCUAACGUACACCUGCAUGUUAUGCAUUGAAAAGGGUUUGCCACUUGCGAUCCUGGGACGAGUAUCAGGUCCGCUUUGUCCUGUGUGGGCUGUAUCAGAUUGCUGUUCACUUCUCUAUCUGUUGGAUAUGUGACUUUCUGCAAGUUUCUGGUGUAUGAUGGCCACGUCCUUGCUUGUCACUUUGUAUGAUAUUACAUUCUGUAUUCGCUGCUUCCAUGGCAUGGUCUGCAAACUGCAAUCCGUGGGCAAAUGUCAUGUUUGCUAUGUUGUGCUUUGGCCGUCAGCUUGUCUACACGCUGUAGUUGAAUUAUUUUUGUUUCACAACUGACUUCCUCAAGUACGGUGGCCACUGCUUUGCAUGGCAUUAUA